rnacentral:rRNA from 1 species
CGCGCAGGCGGCUCGUUAAGUCCAAGGUGAAAUCCCACGGCUCAACUGUGGGGGGACCCUGGAUACUGGCGAGCUGGAGUGCGGGAGAGGGAAGCGGAAUUCCACGUGUAACGGUGAAAUGUAUAGAUAUGUGGAGGAACACCGGUGGCGAAGGCGGCUUCCUGGACCGUAACUGACGCUGAGGCGCGAAAGCUGGGGGGAGCGAACA